GGGGAAUAUUGGACAAUGGGCGCAAGCCUGAUCCAGCCAUGCCGCGUGAGUGAUGAAGGCCUUAGGGUUGUAAAGCUCUUUCAGUGGGGAAGAUAAUGACGGUACCCACAGAAGAAGCCCCGGCUAACUUCGUGCCAGCAGCCGCGGUAAUACGAAGGGGGCUAGCGUUGUUCGGAUUUACUGGGCGUAAAGCGCGCGUAGGCGGAUUGGUCAGUUAGGGGUGAAAGCCCGGAGCUCAACUCCGGAACUGCCCUUAAUACUGCCAGUCUAGAGUCCGGAAGAGGUAAGUGGAACUCCUAGUGUAGAGGUGGAAUUCGUAGAUAUUAGGAAGAACACCAGUGGCGAAGGCGGCUUACUGGUCCGGCACUGACGCUGAGGCGCGAAAGCGUGGGGAGCAAAC
rnacentral:rRNA from 1 species